AGCUCUAGUGGCCUAUUGGUAGGAGCAUCCGCUUCGGAUGCGUGAGGUCGUGGGUUCGAACCCCACCCGAGUCA